GCCUGGGUGGCUCAGUUGGUUGAGCGUCUGACUUUGGCUCAGGUCAUGAUUUGGCAGUUCGUGAGUUCGAGCCCCACAUCAGGCU
rfam:Felis catus isolate Cinnamon breed Abyssinian chromosome F1, whole genome shotgun sequence.